rnacentral:rRNA from 1 species
CUGAACCAGCCAAGUAGCGCGAAGGAUGUCUGCCCUAUGGGUUGUAAACUUCUUUUAUAAACGGAAUAAAGUCGGGUAUGGAUACCCGUUUGCAUGUACUUUAUGAAUAAGGAUCGGCUAACUCCGUGCCAGCAGCCGCGGUAAUACGGAGGAUCCGAGCGUUAUCCGGAUUUAUUGGGUUUAAAGGGAGCGUAGAUGGAUGUUUAAGUCAGUUGUGAAAGUUUGCGG